rnacentral:rRNA from 1 species
ACGUACGCUGGCGGCACGCCUAACACAUGCAAGUCGAACGAAGUAGCAAUACUUAGUGGCAGACGGGUGAGUAACAUGUAGGUAUCUGCCCUUUGGCCUGGAAUAACACGAGGAAACUUGUGCUAAUACCGGAUAAGUCUUUACGGAGAAAGCUUUAUGCACCAUUGGAGGAGCCUGCACUAGAUUAGUUUGUUGGUGGGGUAAUGGCCUACCAAGACUGUGAUCUAUAGCUGAUUUGAGAGGAUGAUCAGCCACAUUGGGACUGAGACACGGCCCAAACUCCUACGGGAGGCAGCAGUGGGGAAUCUUGCACAAUGGAGGAAACUCUGAUGCAGCGAUGCCGCGUGAGUGAAGAAGGCCUUUGGGUUGUAAAGCUCUUUCGUCGGGGAAGAAAAUGACUGUACCCGAAUAAGAAGGUCCGGCUAACUUCGUGCCAGCAGCCGCGGUAAUACGAAGGGACCUAGCGUAGUUCGGAUUUACUGGGCUUAAAGAGUUCGUAGGUGGUUGAAAAAGUUAGUGGUGAAAUCCCAGAGCUUAACUCUGGAACUGCCAUCAAAACUUUUCAGCUAGAGUAUGAUAGAGGAAAGCAGAAUUUCUAGUGUAGAGGUGAAAUUCGUAGAUAUUAGAAAGAAUACCAAUUGCGAAGGCAGCUUUCUGGAUCAUUACUGA